AUUGAACGCUGGCGGCAUGCCUUACACAUGCAAGUCGAACGGCAGCACGGGAGCUUGCCCCUGGUGGCGAGUGGCGAACGGGUGAGUAAUACAUCGGAACAUGUCCUGUAGUGGGGGAUAGCCCGGCGAAAGCCGGAUUAAUACCGCAUACGAUCUACGGAUGAAAGCGGGGGACCUUCGGGCCUCGCGCUAUAGGGUUGGCCGAUGGCUGAUUAGCUAGUUGGUGGGGUAAAGGCCUACCAAGGCGACGAUCAGUAGCUGGUCUGAGAGGACGACCAGCCACACUGGGACUGAGACACGGCCCAGACUCCUACGGGAGGCAGCAGUGGGGAAUUUUGGACAAUGGGCGAAAGCCUGAUCCAGCAAUGCCGCGUGUGUGAAGAAGGCCUUCGGGUUGUAAAGCACUUUUGUCCGGAAAGAAAUCCUUGGCCCUAAUACGGUCGGGGGAUGACGGUACCGGAAGAAUAAGCACCGGCUAACUACGUG
rnacentral:rRNA from 1 species